AGCUCCAAGAGCGUAUAUUAAAGUUGUUGCAGUUAAAAAGCUCGUAGUUGGAUUUCUGGUACAAUGCGCCUGGCCCGCGGCGGUUACGCCUGUGAGUGCCGGAGCGCGUUUGCCAUCCUUCUAGAAAACGUUUCUACCCUUCACUGGGCCGGACUCGCGAUCUAGAUCUUUUACUUUGAAAAAAUUAGAGUGUUUAAAGCAGGCUUUUGCUAUGAAUACAUUAGCAUGGAAUAAUAAUCUAGGACUUCGGUUCUAUUUUGUUGGUUUCUAGUACUGAAGUAAUGAUUGAUAGGGAUAGUUGGGGGUGCUAGUAUUGGCCGGCCAGAGGUGAAAUUCUUGGAUUCGGUCAAGACUAACUUAUGCGAAAGCAUUCACCAAGGAUGUCUUCUUUAAUCAAGAA
rnacentral:rRNA from 1 species